rnacentral:lncRNA from 1 species
GAUGGGAAACAGUGCUAUGCCUUGUGGGUGACACUGCCUGUUGGGACUGGACCAGCCACCCGCCUGGCUCUUCAGAACAACAGCAGCCAUCAUUCCUGAGCCCCUCCUUCGAGGCAGAUGCUUCUCUACAUUAACACAUGGAAUCCUUACAAGCUCUUAAAGGAAUGAUUCUAUUAUAGGUGAGAUGGCAGUUCCAGUUGUCAAGCUGCUUGGAUGGUCUUGGACUCAGAACAAUCCUAUGAGAUAAAUGCUAUUCUCAUCCCCAUUUUGCAGAAGAGGAAACUGAAGCUCAGAGGAGUUAAGAGAUUUGCUCAGGUAAGACCUCUUAGGCAAGGGAGCUGGGAUUUCAACCUAAGAGUUAGAUGUUAUUGCUUGUACUCUAACCACUAGUCUAUCUUUCCUCCCAAGAGGAAAGGAGAAAGAAGAUAUCAGUUCUAGUCCCAUCAUAGAAAGAC